rnacentral:rRNA from 1 species
UACGUAGGGGGCAAGCGUUGUCCGGAUUUAUUGGGCGUAAAGAGCGUGUAGGCGGCCAUGCAGGUCCGUUGUGAAAACUCGAGGCUCAACCUCGAGACGUCGAUGGAAACCGCAUGGCUAGAGUCCGGAAGAGGAGAGUGGAAUUCCUGGUGUAGCGGUGAAAUGCGCAGAUAUCAGGAAGAACACCGAUGGCGAAGGCAGGUCUCUGGGCCACUACUGACGCUGAGAAGCGAAAGCAUGGGGAGCGAACAGG